rfam:Aedes aegypti strain Liverpool supercont1.46 genomic scaffold, whole genome shotgun sequence.
UGUUCUGUAGCUUAGUUGGUUAAAGCGCCGGUCUAGCGUACACGGAGUCAUGAGUUCGAGUCUCACUAGAACGC